GUGCUUGCUUUGGCAGCACAUAUACUAAAAUUGGAACUAUAGAGAGAAGAUUAGCAUGGCCUGUGCGCAACGAUGAUGUACAAAUUCGUGAAGCGUUCCAUAUAAAG
rnacentral:snRNA from 1 species